rnacentral:rRNA from 1 species
ACGAGUGGCGAACGGGUGAGUAAUAUAUCGGAACGUACCCAAGAGUGGGGGAUAACGUAGCGAAAGUUACGCUAAUACCGCAUACGAUCCAAGGAUGAAAGCAGGGGACCGCAAGGCCUUGUGCUCCUGGAGCGGCCGAUAUCUGAUUAGCUAGUUGGUGAGGUAAAGGCUCACCAAGGCGACGAUCAGUAGCUGGUCUGAGAGGACGACCAGCCACACUGGAACUGAGACACGGUCCAGACUCCUACGGGAGGCAGCAGUGGGGAAUUUUGGACAAUGGGCGCAAGCCUGAUCCAGCAAUGCCGCGUGAGUGAAGAAGGCCUUCGGGUUGUAAAGCUCUUUUGUCAGGGAAGAAACGGCUGUGGCUAAUAUCCACGGCUAAUGACGGUACCUGAAGAAUAAGCACCGGCUAACUACGUGCCAGCAGCCGCGGUAAUACGUAGGGUGCAAGCGUUAAUCGGAAUUACUGGGCGUAAAGCGUGCGCAGGCGGUUUUGUAAGUCUGUCGUGAAAUCCCCGGGCUUAACCUGGGAAUGGCGAUGGAGACUGCAAGGCUGGAAUCUGGCAGAGGGGGGUAGAAUUCCACGUGUAGCAGUGAAAUGCGUAGAGAUGUGGAGGAACACCGAUGGCGAAGGCAGCCCCCUGGGCUAAGAUUGACGCUCAUGCACGAAAGCGUGGGGAGCAAACAGGAUUAGAUACCC